rnacentral:rRNA from 1 species
UACGUAGGGUGCGAGCGUUAAUCGGAAUUACUGGGCGUAAAGCGUGCGCAGGCGGUUCGUUGUGUCGGUGGUGAAAGCCCCGGGCUUAACCUGGGAACUGCGGUUGAAACUACAGGACUAGAAUCUGGCAGAGGGGGGUGGAAUUCCACGUGUAGCAGUGAAAUGCGUAGAGAUGUGGAGGAACACCGAUGGCGAAGGCAGCCCCCUGGGCUGAGAUUGACGCUCAGGCACGAAAGCGUGGGGAGCAAACAGG